AAUUGUUUGCAAUGGGCGAAAGCCUGACGGAGCAACGCCGCGUGAGGGAGGAAGGCCUUAGGGUUGUAAACCUCUUUUCUCAAGGAAGAAGACCUGACGGUACUUGAGGAAUAAGCCUCGGCUAACUCCGUGCCAGCAGCCGCGGUAAGACGGAGGAGGCAAGCGUUAUCCGGAAUUAUUGGGCGUAAAGCGUCCGUAGGCGGUUUCAAAAGUCUGUUGUUAAAGCUCACAGCUCAACUGUGGAUCGGCAAUGGAAACUGUGAGACUAGAGAGUGGUAGGGGUAGAGGGAAUUCCUAGUGUAGCGGUGAAAUGCGUAGAUAUUAGGAAGAACACCAGUGGCGAAGGCGCUCUACUGGGCCAUUACUGACG
rnacentral:rRNA from 1 species